rnacentral:misc_RNA from 1 species
GUGAAUCAUCGAAUUUUUGAACGCAAAUUGCGCUCUUUGGUAUUCCAGAGAGUAUGCCUGUUUGAGGGUCAGUUUAAAUAAAAAUCGGUGUGGUUGUUGUCUUCGGUGGUGACGUACAGGAUAUGGGUCGUAUUGCGUUCGGUUAAGUGCCUUAUGAUUUUGCAUGAUUUUUUUUGUAUGUAUUUAAAUGAUUUUACGUACGUUUGCGAUACAGAAUGUUAGGUGUGGUCUUCUUCAUGC